AUGAUGACGGGCCCUCCCCAAGGACAGCUAGCAGCUGGUUCCAGGCACUCAUCUGUGAGCUGCGCUGCCUGUAGCCACUCGCCGUGCCCUGUAUCUGAGAGCAGCCCCAUGAGCACAGAAGGUCAGCCUCAUCCCACUCUGGAUUAUGGUUCGUGUGACCAUUUAGUGUUAUCGUUCAUUGCGCAUGCUUUGGGUUCAAAGGUGAAGUGUUAUCAAUUUGUGUUUGCGUUAAGGUUGAAGGAUUACCCUUUUGGAUUAGGUUAAAGUUUACUGUUUGGGGCUAGUGUUUAGGGUAAGAGUUACCAUAUUAGGUCAGGGUGAAGGGCUUUCCUUUUGUGUGACCUGCCAGGAUGGAAAGACUGUUGAUGUGGUCUACCUUGACUUCAGCAAAGCCUAUGACUUUGUAUUCUCCUGGAGAAGCUGGCAGCCCGUGACUUGGACAGGUACACUCUUUGCUGGGUAAGGAGCUGACUGGAGGGCUGGGCCCAGAGAGUGGUGGUGAAUGGAGUUAAAUCCAGCUGGCGACCGGUCACAAGUGGUGUUCCCCAGGGAUCGGUGCUGGGACCUGCCCUCUUCAGUAUGUUUAUUGAUGACCUGGGAGAGGGCACGGAGUUCACCCUCAGUAAGUUUGCAUGUGAUACCAAGUUGGAAGGUAGUGUCAAUCUGCCUGGUGGUAGUAAAGCCCUACAGAGGGAUGUGGACAGGCUGAAGUCAGUGGGAUGAGAUUCAGCAAGACCAAAUGCUGGGUCCUGCACUUUGGCCACAACAACUCCAGGUAACACCACAGGCUUGGUGCAAAGUGGCUGAAAGACUGUGUAGAGGAAAGGAACCUGAAUAUAUUGGGCGAUGCUCGGCUGAACAUGAUCCAACAGUGUGCCCAGGUGGCCAAGAAGGCCAAUGGUAUUGUGGCUUGUAUCAGAAAUAGUGCUGCCAGCAGAAGCAGGGAAGUAAUUUUGCCUCUGUACUCAACACUGGUGAGGCCGUAUCUUGAGUACUGUGUUCAGUUUUGGGCCCCUCACUGCAAAAAAGACAUCAAGGCCCUGGAGCAUGUUAAGAGAAGGGCAAUGAAGCCGGUGAGGGGUCUGGAGCACAGACCUUAUGAGGAGUGGUUGAGGGAGUUGGGUUAGAAGCAAAGGUUAAAGGUUACCCAUUUUUGGGUUUGGUUGAAGGGUUUUGCUUUUCAGUUAGGGUUAAGGGUUACCCAUUUGGGUUGAGGCUUAAGGGUUAAUUUAACAUUUUGUUUUAGGUUUAAGGGUUAUGGAUUAUCAUUUUGUGGUUUGUGUUAAGAAUUUCAGUUCUGGUUUAGGGUUGUCAGUAACCCGUUUGGGUUAAGGGUUUACCAUUUGGGUUACAGUUAAGGGUUAAGGAUUACUUAUUUGGGUUAAGAGUUAAGGCUUAACCUUUUGGGUUGAGGAUUAAAAGUUACUCAUUUGGGUUAGGAAUAAGGUUUAUCUGUUUGAGUUAAUGGUUAGGGUUAAAGGUUAUCAUUUCGGGUUAGGCUUAAGGGAAAAGGAUUAAAAUUUUGGCUUAGGGUUAAUGGUUACCCAUUUGUGUUAAGGUUAAAGGCGAAGGGUUACCGUUUUUGUUUGAGAUAAGGAUUGCAGUUCUGGGUUAGUGUCAAGGGUUUAGAGUUACUCAUUUGGAUUGAAGUUUAAGGGUUAACAUUUUGGUUUAGGUUUAAGGAUUACCCUUUUGGGUUAGGGUUAAGUGUUACACUUUUUUGGUAGUAUUAAGGGACUUGGGAUACUCAUUUGAAUUAUGGUUAAGGGUUACCUAUUUGUGUUAAGGCAAAGGGUUAAUGGCUACCCUUUUGGGUUGGGGUUAGGUGAUUCCCCUUUGUGUUAGGGUUAAGGGUUACCCAUUUAGCUUAGGACUAAGAGUUACCCAUUUGCAUUACGGCUAAGAGUUACUCAUUUAGUUUAGAGUUAAGGAUUAUUUAUUUGGGUUAUAUCUAAGGGUUACCAUUCAAUGUUAUGAUUAAGGGUUAUUUAUUUGGGUUAUAGAUAAGAGUUACCAUUGAAUGUUAUGGUUAAGGGUUGAGGGUUUCCCUUCUGGGUGAGGAUUAAAGGUUACUGUUUUGUGUUAUUGGUAAGGGCUACCCUUCUUUGUUAAGAGAAAUGUUUACCCUUUUGAUUUAGAUUUAAGGAUUAAACUUUGUUUUUUGAGAUUAGGGAUAAGGGUUACCCAUUUAGGUUAGAGUAAAGGGUCACGCAAUGACCAUUUGGGUUAGGGUUAAAAGUUACACUUUUGUAUUAGCAUCAAGGGUUACCCAUCUGGGGAAUGGUUAAGGGGUAAGGGUUACCAAUUUGUGUUAAGGUUAACACUAACAGUUAAGGGUUACACAUUUGUAUUAAAGAUAUAUCUUUUUGAAUAAGGGUUAAUGGUUACCACUUAGUGUUAGGGUAAAGGAUUACUAUUUUGAGUUAGUGUUAAAACUUACCCUUUUGAGAUAUGGUUAGUGCUGAUUGUGUUAGUGCUAUGUGUUACCAUUUGGAGUUAGUGCUAAUGGUUUACUAUUUGUUUUAGUGUUAUGUGCAAACCUUUUGGAUUAUGGUUAAGGGUUACACUUUUGGUUUAGGGUUAAGUGCUAAGAUUUACACUAAGUGCUAAGAAUUUUGGUUAUUGUUAAGGGAAUCCCAUUUUGGUUAGCAUUAAGAAUUACCCAUUUGGGUAACUGUUAAGGGUUAAUAUUUUGGAUUAGUAUUAGUUUUAAGGGUCACCUAUAUGGGUUAUGGAUAAGGGUUACUUUGUUGUGUUAGGGUUAAGGGUUAAAGGCUAACAUUUUUGCCCAUUUAUGUUGAGGCUUUAGGGUUACCAUUUUGUGUUGUGGUUAAGGGAUAUCCAUUUGAGUCAUGGUUAAGGGUUAACACUUUUGGGUUAGGGCUGAGGAUUACACAAUAGGACUUAAGGUUGUGGGUUAUCCAAUUGGGUUGAGAGUUAAGGGUUACUCAUCUGGGACAGGGCUAAGCAUUAGGGGUUACUCUUUUGGGUUAGGGUAAAGAGUGCUGGGUUGUCCAUUUGUUGAAGGUUAAGGGUUACCUUUUGGGACAAGGGUUGGAAGUUAUUCUUUAGAGUAAGGGUUCAGUAAUACCUUUUUCGCUUAGGGUGGGUGGCCAUUUUGGAUUGUGGUUAAUGCUUAACGGUAACAAUUUCAGGUUAAGGAUAAUGGUCACCAAUUUAAGUUAGGGUUAAGGGAUCAGAGUUACCCAUUUCGGCAAUGUUUUCUUUUUGAGAUGGAAUAGUUAAGGGUUACCCUUCUGGUUUAUGUUAAAGAGUUAAGGGUUAUCCACUUCAGAGGAGUAUUAACAUUACACUUUUUAGUUAGGCUUAAGAAUUAUAAAUUCGUGUUUGGGUUAUGGAUUAUCCUUUUGGGUUAGGCUUAAGGCUUAAAGGUUAUUCUUUUGGGUAGGCAUUCAGGGUUAAGGGUUAGCAUUUUGGGUUAGACUUAAGGGCUACCCAUUUCAGUUUGAGUUAAUGGUUACCCCUUUGGGUUAGGGUUAAGUGCUUAGUGUUACCCUUUUGAUUUAUGGGAUAACAUUCUGGUUUAGGUUUAUAUGUUAAGGCUUACUCAGUCGUGUUAGGGUUAAGGGUUACUGUUUCUGGUAAAUGGAUAAGUGUUCCUAUAUUUUAUUAUGGUUAAGGGUUAACAGUUCCUUGUUUCGGUUAGUUUUAAGGGUUAUUCUUUUGGCUUAAGAUUAAGGGCUUAGGGGUAACCAUUUGUGUUAAGAUUAAGGAUUACUGUUUUGGGUUAGGGUUAAUGUUUAAGGGUUACUAUUUUGGGUUAGGGUUAAGUGUUACCCAUUUGGGUUAAGGAUAAAAGUUAUCAUUUUAGUUUAGGGUUAAGGGAUACCAUUUGGUGUUAGGGUUAAGGGAUGACACUUACCAUUUUGCGUUAGGGUUAAGAGUUAUCUUUUUGGAUUAGUGUUAAAGGUUACCAAUUUGUGUUGCUGUUAUGGGCUAUCUUUCAGGGUUAGGGUAAAUGGUUAAACCGUUGUGCUAGUGUAAAUGGUUACAUUUAAGGGUUAAGACUGAGGGUGAACAUUUUUGUAGUGGUCAGAUCCUUCAAGCCACCCCGUGAAAAGUCCACUUGUUCCACUUCUGCUUACCUUUAAAACCAUAAGCAGAAGUACUGUGCCAUGGUGACACCCACCGCUCGCCCCUUGAGAUAAUUCACAGUUGUCAGUUACAGUCUCUUCACCUCAGGAAGUGAGCUUUGAGCCAAGAAAAAAAGAAGGGUUCAUUAAACCAUCUUUCUCACCAUCUGGUAGCUCAAAGGUUGCUUGAAAUGGAUGCAUGUGACCUUGGUAGUGAAGAAGAAGAAAAGAAAAAGAAGCAAAGAAAUCUCAAACAAACAAACAGCAAAAUGGAAAGGGGGAGUGAGGGGAUGGUAAGGGAGAGUUAAAUGUUACAGAAUUGCUACAAAAGAUUUCUUGUUCUUGGUUACAAAUUUUGCCAUGAUCUGUUGGGCUUGUACAUCUGUUGAAGUGGUUACAAAGUUGAAUCAAACAUGCAAGCAUAGAAAGAACAAACAGAAGAGUUACAACAGCACACAAUAGAUAAAAGAGAAUACGUUUCACCCAUGGGCAAUUUGUUUAACAAUUUUAUCAUUAUCGUUCAAUUUAUAGACAGCAAUUAGUCAUUCUUUAGAGUCAGUUUGCCACAGACAUCACCUAGUGACUAAAAUCAGUUAAUGCAUAACAAAAUGUUCAUCUUCAGGACUGGUGACAUGAAUUUGAUACUAGGAAUAGAAAGUAGAAAGUGAAAAGAGACAGAAAAAAGAAGCCAAGUAAUCAUGCAUUUAACAAUAUCAACUAAGAAAAAAAAAACAAUAAAAAAAAAAAGAGGUCCAAUUAAUACAGUUAGUCCGGUAUUGUGUCAGCUGUUCCCCACCCUGGUAAGUCCCAGUGUUUGUGAAAGGAGAGUAAGCCAGAAUCCAGGUGAACACAGACAUGCUACAUCCAUCGUGUUCCUUAAGAAACAACAUAUCGAGCACUAACUGGUUUUGCAAUGCCAACUUCAGUACUUCUUGUGCUUGAGAGAUUAAUUCUCCAAAAGCGUAUCUAGUCCAACUUGACAAUACAUGAAUUUGCCAAGUAAUGUUAUCAGACAUGCUUUGUGGUUUUGCCAGGACCAUAGAUGGAGAAAAUCUUUUUGAAUAUCAUAGGGAAUCUCUGCCAAGCGGUCAGAAAAACUGAAUGCUCUAUGUAGGCAGAGUGAAAGUAUUACUAUACCACACUGCAACACUGCAUGUUGAUCCAAGGUUAAAUAUGAAAAGAAUUUUUCAUUUUAGUAUCUCAAAAGAAAUUAAAAUACCACGUGAUAUACAUACCAGUUUAGCAAGUUCAAGUACUGUUAUAAUCUAUAAAACAUUCAGGGGUUACUGUGUGCAGGAUACCCUACACUAUAGAAGUUAAUAGGGUUAAAAUCAGAAAAUAACAUCACGGCCGCUGCGUCCGGGGACAGAAAAAGAAAAGAAAUCCCGGCCACGGGGAAGCAAGAGAACCCACCAGGAACAGACCGAGCUGCCAACGCCAAAAGAAAGGUCGGGCAGCCAGCCUGGAGGAGUCCAGGCCUGCUGUUCAGCAUGACAGCAAACACCGGACAAGAACAAAAGUCGAGCAUCCAUGCCCGGGAGGAGGACAGGGUAGCUACUGGGCAUGCUGCUACGUCCACGAGAGAUGCAACUUCUCCGCUACCUACCCCAAAGCAGUCCGGGGCUGCUAGCCAGAACAAGCAUCUCU
ensembl:lncRNA